AUUGAACGCUGGCGGCAGGCUUAACACAUGCAAGUCGAGCGGAGAUGAGGUGCUUGCACCUUAUCUUAGCGGCGGACGGGUGAGUAAUGCUUAGGAAUCUGCCUAUUAGUGGGGGACAACAUUCCGAAAGGAAUGCUAAUACCGCAUACGUCCUACGGGAGAAAGCAGGGGAUCUUCGGACCUUGCGCUAAUAGAUGAGCCCAAGUCGGAUUAGCUAGUUGGUGGGGUAAAGGCCUACCAAGGCGACGAUCUGUAGCGGGUCUGAGAGGAUGGUCCGCCACACUGGGACUGAGACACGGCCCAGACUCCUACGGGAGGAAGCAGUGGGGAAUAUUGGACAAUGGGGGGAACCCUGAUCCAGCCAUGCCGCGUGUGUGAAGAAGGCCUUAUGGUUGUAAAGCACUUUAAGCGAGGAGGAGGCUACUGAGAUUAAUACUCUUGGAUAGUGGACGUUACUCGCAGAAUAAGCACCGGCUAACUCUGUGCCAGCAGCCGCCGUAAGAC
rnacentral:rRNA from 1 species